GGCGCACUAGAGAAAUGGCAACUCGUCGGCCUCCUACAUAGGUCAGCCGAAGAUUCCGGGUUCAAGUCCCGGGUGUGUCG